rnacentral:rRNA from 1 species
AACGCGAAGAACCUUACCAGGCCUUGACAUGCAUUAGACCGGCGCUGAAAGGCGCCCUCCCUUCGGGGCUGGUGCACAGGUGCUGCAUGGCUGUCGUCAGCUCGUGUCGUGAGAUGUUGCGUUAAGUCGCGCAACGAGCGCAACCCCUGUCCUUAGUUGCCAUCAUUCAGUUGGGCACUCUAGGGAGACAAACCCUCUUUGAGGGUGGGAAGGUGGGGAUGACGUCAAGUCAGGAUGGCCCUUACGGCCUGGGCUGCACACGUACUACAAUGCCCGGUACAGAGGGAAGCAAUACCGCGAGGUGGAGCAAAAUCCUCAAAAACCGGGCCCAGUUCAGAUUGUAGUCUGCAACUCGACUACAUGAAGUUGGAAUCGCUAGUAAUGGCGCAUCAGCUACGGCGCCGUGAAUACGUUCCCGGGCCUUGUACACACGUACAGU